UACGUAGGGUGCGAGCGUUAAUCGGAAUUACUGGGCGUAAAGCGUGCGCAGGCGGCUUUGCAAGACAGAUGUGAAAUCCCCGGGCUUAACCUGGGAACUGCAUUUGUGACUGCAUGGCUGGAGUGCGGCAGAGGGGGAUGGAAUUCCGCGUGUAGCAGUGAAAUGCGUAGAUAUGCGGAGGAACACCGAUGGCGAAGGCAAUCCCCUGGGCCUGGCACUGACGCUCAUGCACGAAAGCGUGGGGAGCGAACAGG
rnacentral:rRNA from 1 species